GUAGGUGGCAAGCGUUGUCCGGAAUUAUUGGGCGUAAAGCGCGCGCAGGCGGUCCUUUAAGUCUGAUGUGAAAGCCCACGGGCUCAACCGUGGAGGGUCAUUGGAAACUGGGGGACUUGAGUACAGAAGAGGAAAGCGGAAUUCCAAGUGUAGCGGUGAAAUGCGCAGAGAUUUGGAGGAACACCAGUGGCGAAGGCGGCUUUCUGGUCUGUAACUGACGCUGAGGCGCGAAAGCGUGGGGAGCAAACAGGAUUAGAUACCCUGGUAGUCCACGCCGUAAACGAUGAGUGCUAAGUGUUAGGGGGUUUCCGCCCCUUAGUGCUGCAGCUAACGCAUUAAGCACUCCGCCUGGGGAGUACGGCCGCAAAGGCUG
rnacentral:rRNA from 1 species